rfam:Microbacterium sp. Root61 contig_1, whole genome shotgun sequence.
GCCUCCGUAGCUCAGUGGAUAGAGCAAGAGCCUUCUAAUCUCUUGGUCGUAGGUUCGAUUCCUACCGGGGGCA